rnacentral:rRNA from 1 species
CGGCGUGCCUAAUACAUGCAAGCGAACGGCUUUCUAUGGAAGCUUGCUUCCACUGAGAAGAUAGUGGCGAACGGGUGAGUAACACGUGGGUAACCUGCCCAUAAGAGGGGGAUAACGAUCCGGAAACGGGUGCUAAUACCGCAUAGUUUUCUUGAUCGCAUGAUUGAGAAAGGAAAGACGGCCUUUGUGCUGUCGCUUAUGGAUGGACCCGCGGCGUAUUAGUUAGUUGGUGAGGUAACGGCUCACCAAGACGAUGAUACGUAGCCGACCUGAGAGGGUGAUCGGCCACAUUGGGACUGAGACACGGCCCAAACUCCUACGGGAGGCAGCAGUAGGGAAUCUUCCGCAAUGGACGAAAGUCUGACGGAGCAACGCCGCGUGAGUGAAGAAAGGUUUUCGGAUCGUAAAACUCUGUUGUCAGAGAAGAACAAGUUGGAGAGUAACUGCUCCAGCCUUGACGGUAUCUGACCAGAAAGCCACGGCUAACUACGUGCCAGCAGCGGC